AUAUGUAGGAUCAUGGUAUAUAUAUCAUUCUUUAAUUUGCAUCCCUACUUUACAAGAUAUCAUAAAGAUACAUCCAUGUAAUAGAGAUGGAUUCUUUCUUUUAAAUCACUACAUAAAUUCCAUUGUAUGGGUACCUCAGUUAUUUAUAUAAAACAUACCUUUUCUAUUGAAUAGCAUUUAAGCUGUUAUGAAUUCCAUCUUUGGCUUCUUUUGUGCUCCCCACAGAGGUAGUUCUGUUCAUGGUACUGCCACAGGUUAGCUGGCUGCUCCCCAUAAAGUUUUGGUCCAUGUCCGUGUUCUACUAAAACAAACCAUGAAGCUGGUUAAUAACAGUAACUAGUUAACACUGAGUUAACCUAUCGAGUGGCCUUUGGAGGACUAGACUGCUUAAAUCACGAUGACCUUGAUGAUGAUGAUGAUGAUGAUAAUGAUGAUGACGAUGAUUCCUUGAGCAAUAUCUCCUCCUCUGUGUCUUUGGCAUUAGGAAGAGUGGAUAAAAAGGACACAUCUCCACUUGGAGAGGAAGUGAGAAGCAAGCCUUUGUAAGAAGAAAUCAACCUUAUUUGAUGCUUGAACUGAAUAAGCCCCCAGGAAUCUUGAACAACUCCGUUGGAGGAAGGCCUAAAGGGGACACUAAAACCCCUGGUUUGUAGGUAGGGGAAACCUCUAUCAAUUUACUUGGAAAAUGUAAAGAGCAGUUUUGGUAUGUCAAACAGGUAA
rnacentral:lncRNA from 1 species